rnacentral:lncRNA from 1 species
AUUGACCAAUAAGAUAUUAGAAGUAUUAAAAGCUACAGCACUGAAAGCUGAAAAGAGUAAAGAGAGUUUCACAUGUAAGAUAAGGUGUAACGCUUCCUGGCAGGUUGGAUGUCACUCUUGGGGGCUCCUCUUUCAAUUGCACAGGCCUCAGUGGUCGCAUGUUUGGCACUGGUGAAGGAAGAGCUAGGUUGAACUGCAUACUACAGUGAUGUGUCUGGCACCUUGAGGAUGAUUUAGGGAGGGUAAGUAAAACACUUUUGCCUGUCAUGAAAAGGACAGAUCACGAUCAGUCUGUCACAUAUAAUUUGACAAUUUGCAAUGCUUGAACAACGGGAGGCCAAGGAACAUAUUUCAAACAUUGCUACUGAUAGAAGAGUUUUACAGUAGCUCCCAAUUUCUAUGCUGAAUAAAAGUCC